CGUGCCUGGCAACAGAGGAGUUCAGAGGACACUUAUGAAAUCUAUGUGCUCCCGGGGCAGUGGGAAAAGGCGAUGGCGGUGCAUUCCAAAGGGGGCCUGCGGGAAUACCUUUGAAAAGCAACCGGGACAGCACAAGACCCCAGGAAGCUAUUUCAUCUGCUCCAGCCUGCGCUAAGGGCGACUUGGAGGCGGACCUCUGAUCUCCCGGUUCCACUUCACUGAGCACUCUGCACGGCGGCUGUCAUCUGCAGACACUGAAGAGUAUCCCUGAUUUUCAAGCCAUCAGCAAAAUCCUCCAGCACCCACAGAUGGAGCCAGUGUGUGGAACUGGUUUUAUGGCCUCUGGAGAAACAUGGCGGUCCCUAAGUUUAACUCUGCUGAGCCUGGAGUCCGGCAAGCCAGAAGGGCAAGGUAAGGCUACAACCACACUUGACUGAUUCAGAGAAAAAAGAGAGCACCAAAGAGAACAUUUGAUAUUUUCCACCAAGAAAAUUACUUUGGAUUUAUAUAAAGAGAAACAAUUAGGUGAAUCUCAGUCUCACACAAUAUUUUUCUCUGGCUUUCUUAUAUUUCCUCAACUGUGUAGUAAGUGUACUGAGAAUGCAGACAUCACUCACACCCAUCCCCAACACAUACCACAGAAGGAUCUCAGUAUUAUCCCAGAGUCAAAGUAAAAUAGCUAUGGAGUUUUAUUCUGGAUAGUGAGAAAUUUCUAAAACUAAGAGAAGAUUUUCAAAAGCAAUGUAACCUCUGGACCUGAACACUGAAAGUCUCCUUAGGCACAAACCAACCAUACAACUACAUUUUGGGUUAGUUAACAAAUAAGGCAAAAUACAGGUAAGCUCAUCAAAGAUGGCUCUGGGACGUUCUGCCAUCAGUUAAGAGGAGCCUCAUCACAGACCAGUGAACUUGAGAGUGAAUCAUUCAUGAUUCUAUUACUUAUAAGAAUUUAAAUCAAGUCUUGCUACUUUUUGUUCCCAACAUGUAACAGGCCUUCAAGCAAAUGUGUCACUGGUGUUCCUGGUAAAUAGUUAACUACACUUAACCUAGAAGACAAUUCCCAAGAAUAUUCAUUGGCAAGCACCAGUCAUCUUUUGAAACAGCACACACAAAUGCAGAAAAUAAGCUGUGCUCCAUGAACACCCACUGAUAGCCCACAGCUGAUACCAUGUCACAAACAUGCAGAUAGAGUUGAUGAAAAAUGAGGGACAAUCAAGUAAAUGAGUGAAAUGGCAGCCACCACACAUAACCUCAACUGUUGGGGACAAUGAGAAAGAUACAGUGAAGGCAGACAAGGGGGAAAAGAGUAGGAAGCCUCUUCUCAUGAAGACAAAAAUCACAAACCACUGCAGCCCUUUUCAUUCAGGAGAAACGGAUUGUCCACUGGUUCCAUUUUUUAAACAGUGCCAGGGUGAGUAUGUGGUAGGCUGCAGGAGGAAGAUGGCAGGAGAAUUGUGCACUCCCUGGUAGGACAUUUAAAAGGAGAGGAGACAUGUCCAUGCAGCUUCCAGUCUUCACCACCAGUCACAGCUGCCACUUGGACGGCAAGCUGCAGAUCUCCAUUUGGAUGAAUGCAACCUUGAAUGACCCGACUAGUUUGGCCAAGGAAGCCUACCUAGAAGCUAGAAGGAGGGCACACACUUCAGUUUUGCGAUUGUUUUUAUGAAUAUGAAAACACCCGGGUACCAAGUUAAGGAGAUUGGUAGCACCGUUAAUGGCAGGAAGUCACAAAAGUUCCAAGUGAGAGAUUAUUUAGAAGUAGCCAUUACCCCUCCAAACUAGACACCACUCCCUUCAGGAUGCAUGAGACCGUAUUAAAUUCUACUUCAGUAUUUCUCGAAUUAUUUUUCAAUAAGUUAGGUAAAAUAAAUAUUCAGAUUUUUUUUCCUCCCUUUAUUAUUGCCAUUAAGCCUUUAAGUUUUACAUACAUUUUAAUGUAACUGAUUAGGGUACUUGGAUGUGCUAUGAUAUAUGAAUAACAAUAUAAAGUUUUUAUGUUUCAAGCCCUUCCAUAGUUAUCAAAGAAAAAUGCGUUCAUUCAAAAUGAAGAUGUCAUAUCGAUUAAAACAUUAAAUAGGGUCUAGCCUGUGGCAUAGCAAGUAAAACCGCUACCUGCAACACCGGCAUUCCAUAAGGGUGUCAGUUAGUGUCCUGGCUGCUCCACUUCUGAUCUAGCUCCCCAUUAAUGGCAUGGGGAAAGCAGAAGAUGGUCCAAGUACUUGGGUCUUUGCCACCCAUGUGGGAGACCUGGAAGAAACUUCUGGUUCCUGGCUUUUUCCUGGCCCAGCGUUGGCCACUGAGGCCAUAUGGGGAGUAAACAAGCAGAUGGAAGAUUUCUCUCUGUGUGUGACUGACUUUCAAAUAAAUAAAUAACAAAAAAAAAUAAAACAAGAAAUUGGAAGAGACUCAUGGCAGGGGACAAGGGAUACUGCAUCACUCUUACAAUGUGGACUUGAAACAGUCUUGAACAUUCAGGGGUUCCGUCUUAUACUAACUGGAGACCUUGCCUUAGACGGUAAGGUUACAACAAACUAGCCAUCAAAGAAGGCUAAAAGAAGCCUUAGUUCGUUUUACCCCACAAGGCACAAGUGGAUCAGUUCUUCCAAACUCAUCUGCCGGCCUACAUUAGAUACUGUAAUCCAUUAGUUUACUAAUAAAAUCCCUCUAGGUUAUAAUUAAUAGGAGCAACCAACCUGGGAAAACUUCAAGGAGUUGUGUAAGUGAAGUAAAUUAAAUGCCGAGGUGACAGGGGGAAUGGAAAUUGUUGGAGAUGAAGGUUAUUUUUUUUCCUUCCUCCCCAGGCCCAACAAGAAUGUACUAAUCAUCCUCUGGCCUUUCCCUCCCCCACCUGUCUUCUACAAACUAAUCUCAACCCCAACCCACACAUAGAUGAAACAUGGCGCCACCUAUUGGCAGUCACUGGUACAUGAAUGAGAUUACACUUAACAUAAUCCUGAGAAUAUAUACAUAUAUAAAUACACACGAGUUUUUAAGAUCAGAUUGUCUCACCCAGUACUAGUGCCAAAAAUCAGUUAAUUUAUACUGUUUACUUUUCAUGGGCUGCAGAGUGACUUAAAAGGACCACUUACACUAUAAAUAUGUGACGAGAAUAAAUAAAUGCUUGAGAAAGAUAAUGCUAUACCAAUGAAACAAUUAAUUGGCAGGGUAUAGGAGACGGUAGAAUAGAUACUAAAACACAGUCAACAGGCCAAUUUCAGAGAGACCAAGCUAUGUAUCUUCACCUCUGGGGGAGUUCAUUUUCUUGUCUAGAAACAAGGGGAUGUAAGCUCUAGCAGGGAGAAUCAGGGAUUUUCCUAAGUACAGUGAACAGUGUUGUUCAGGCUAAGAAAUGAUCAUGCCCCCAGGUGGUCCCCAUGUGUGUUGUCACGGCCUAAUCUUACAAGAAUGGCUAUUAAUUAAGAUCUCCCAAAAGUAGCUUGGCAUUUGGGAAUAAAGUUAGAGAAUGUAGGAAAAAAAAAAAAAAAACUGGGCCCAGUGCUGUUAUACAGUGGGUUAAGCCACUGUCUGCAGUGCCAGCAUCCCAUAGGAGAGCCAGGCCAUGUCCCAGCUGCUUGAUUUCCAAUCCGGCUCCCUGCUAAUGUGCCUGGGAAAGGAGUGGGAGAUGGCCCACAUACUUGGGCCUCUGCAGCAUGUGAAAGAUUUUGAUGGGGCUCUGGGCUCCUGGCUUUGGCCUGGCCCAGCCCUGGGCAUUGCUGCCAUUAUGGAAGUGAACCACUGGUUGAAAGAUUCUCUCCCCCUGUCACUGUGACACUCAAAUAAAUAAGUAAAUACAUUUGUUAAAAAAUCAAGGAAAAGAAGUUGUGCAUCCCAUACCAGCAAUUUUGUUGUUUUGUUUUGGAGAAUAGAAGUGAAAUUUUAUUUAUGUGAGAAGAUGUGAAGAUCUGAACAGCAAGGUAAGGACCUGGUAGAAACAGAGACCAAGCCCUUAUUCAGGCAACUGUGAUGGAACUCACUUUCACUUGCUCAAGACAAAUGUCAAAUUCACCAAUGAUCAGUUACUUAGUGCAGCUCUGUAGCCAAAGGACUGUCAUUAACCAGUCAUGAUUUCCAAAGAACUAGUAGUCAAUCUGAAUUUGAAGUCAUGAAACAGCGCAUUUGCAGGGGAGCUUCCAUGGUCCCUAGAUGAUCCUGAUCUGGAAGAGCUGUUAUCCGAGAUCCAAGGGAGAGCUCCAGAAACGUUUAGUAACGAGGACAACAGUAACGAAGCAAACCACAAAGGCUGCAGGCACACGCACAAUCAGGGAGAAUGUUAUCCGUCAGUCUGAACACAUGCCAGCGCCCUGAAGUGCGCAGAGGAAAACUGUAGGAUGGGCAUGUAUCGUAUGACACUUCAACAUCAAAUCAACCAUCAUUCCAGGAGCACCACUGCACGGAGUGCUUGUAGAAAUGCAGCCAGCCCACGAGCAGAUGUGCACUCUCCCUGCGCAAACAAUACAAGUAACUCUUCAGGAGAGUGAUCACUCAACGCCACGUGCACUAACUUGAUCGUUCCGUCAUCAGAUGGCACUGCAAAUUUCAUUACAUAUUUUAAAUCAUGUUAACAUGGUUUGUUAACACUGGUAUUCACUAAAAAGGCCACAACUAUUUAAAUAAUAAAUGAGCAUGCUAAUUUUUAUAUACAUUAUGAAAGUGACAUGUGUAAAUAUUCUACAUAUUUUCUUCUUAAAACCUGACUUUCAGCAUUAGCUAAGAGUCAUCAGUGAAAAGACUCAUCAAGAUGUUUUACAGACUCACAAAUGUACUCCUUAUUUAGAGAAGUAAACAGCAUAUCUAAGGAACAAUUCUUCAUGUUAAAACAGUGUACCUUACUAGUCUAUCAGAUACUGUUAAGGCAAGAAUUUAAUCCUCUGCUUAAAAGAGACAGGAAGACCCAUGCUGCUCUGAGCUGGGAACCGAGGAAGUUUCUUCACUGAUCAGAGCCAGCCCUCUGAGGUCGUGCUGUUCCUUCUCCCACAUUCACCCUCCAUCUUGUUCUGCAAGCGUAAUCCUAGGCAGUUUGUGAGCACACACCCCGGGGCUGCCACCCACUGCUUCUGUGCCUCUGCAUCUGCCGCCAGUGGGUCCCACAUGCCGAGGACUUUUUCUCCCCCACACUCCCUGCUUUGCUCCCCGAGUGUCCUGAAGAAAGGGGAUGUGCCCUGGGGACUCUCCACAGAAGCUGGCAGGUUUGGAGACCAGGGAAAGAGUAUCUGUCUUCUGCUCAGUUUGCUGAGCUGCUUGGAGGCUGUAAGGGAUGUUUGUGAGCAGGAAAAGUCAGGUUGGAGGUGUCAGAGAAGGCAACGUAGAACUUAAGUAUAGAGGGAAUAACUGCAGGACCAUAUUCAUGGGUAAGUUUGCUAAGAAAACCAAAACAUGCAAUCAACCUAAAUGCCCGUCAACUGAAGACUGAAGAAAUUAUGGCAUAUGUACUCUAUGGAAUACAACACAACUGUAAAAAAAAAAAAUGAAAUCCAGUCAUUUGCAACAAAAUGGAUCAAUCUGGAAAACAUCACACUUAGUGAAAUAAGCCAGUCCCCAAAGGACAAACACCGUAUGUUCUCCCUGAUCUCUGAUGACCAAUAGAGCACCUAAAAGGAAAUCUGUAGAAAUUAAAUUGACACACUGAGAAGCAAUGACUUGACUGUUGAGCAACAGUUUUCUUUUCUCUUCAUACUAUUUGUAUCUCAGUGAAAAAAAAAAAAGAGAAGGAGGAGUAAGUUUAUAACUGUAAAGCUGUAUAGUUCUGCAUACAUUUCUACGGACUUACUUCUAAGAGUAAAUUUAAAAACUUGCAUGGAACCCCAAAUCCCAUUAGGCUGGGUGAUAAAAAUGUCAUCUUAAGUGUGUUAAAAUGAUAUUAAGUGUUAAAGUGAUCAUACAGAUAGGAUUAAGUGUUAAAGGGAUCAUAUAAAUAAGAUCAAGUAACUGGUAACAACAAUACAAUUAAAAAGGAAAAAAUGUUCCAACAUGGGAAGCAGUCCACACAGCAGACUCAUAGAAUGACAAUGGCUUUAAAUAACACUCUGACCUCAGAAUCAGCCCUUAAGGCAUUCUGGUCUGGCUGAAAAGCCCAUGAGAGCAUUUCAGGCACGGACAGCCAAGACACUGUGGUAAAAAAAAAAAAAAUGUCAUACAGGAAGGAUCUCUGUGACUGAGACCCCAGUGGAAAGAAGUGGCCAUCAAAGGAUGAACUUUCCUUGAAGGGAGGAGAGAACUUCCACUUUGUUUAUGGCUUUGUCUAAAUACUGAUGCAGAUUGUGGACUCAAAAGGCUUCCACAGCUUUUGGCAGCUCAUGUCAUACACACAUAUGAAUGUUAAUUGUUAAAUUAAAAACAGGAGUCACUGUGCACUUCUCAUGCAGGACUUCUGUCCUCAAUGAGUUCUAUUAUGAGAAUUAACCACAAAACCUGUUCUCAGUUUGUGUGUGUGUACAAAUUGUUGAAAUCCUUACUCAGUACAGAGUUGGUCUCCUGUGUAUAAAGUUAAUUGAAAAUUAAUCUUAAUAGAGAAUAGGACUGGGAAUGGGAGAGGAAGA